CACGUAGGGGGCAAGCGUUGUCCGGAUUUAUUGGGCGUAAAGAGCUCGUAGGCGGUUCGAUAAGUCGGGUGUGAAAACUCUGGGCUCAACUCAGAGACGCCACCCGAUACUGUUGUGACUUGAGUCCGGUAGGGGAGUAUGGAAUUUCCGGUGUAGCGGUGAAAUGCGCAGAUAUCGGAAGGAACACCAGCAGCGAAGGCGGUACUCUGGGCCGGAACUGACGCUGAGGAGCGAAAGCGUGGGGAGCGAACAGG
rnacentral:rRNA from 1 species